UGAUCAGACACUGAUGCAGAUUUUCACGGGUAUAUUCUUUUCUUUGGAAUCGGGAUCAUUCCACUACUGCUGUGCAACUUUUAGACCCAUGUUGUGAAUGCUUUCUGUUUCUCUCUUGCAAUAAACAGGAACGGCUGGGGGAUUGCCUGAGGCUCCAUCUGCUUAGAUUUGCAGUUCUCAGCCCCCCUUGAACAGAAAGACCACCUGAGGAGCUUUAAAGCUACAAGUACCUGGGAAAGGGAUCUCACAGUGCAGUCCAGAAGCAGCAAUAUUCAGCCUUACCUGAUGACUGAUUAGAAACUGAAAUUCUAGGUACAUCCCACAUUUACUGAAUUAGGAACUUUUUGGAUAGUAUCCAAAUAGAUAGUUUUGGAUUUUUUUUUUUUUUUUGAGUAUGCUGGAGGUGAUUUUGGUACAUGUUAAAGUUUGAAAACCAUGCCCUGGAUAGGAAUUUGAGUGUUGGAACAGUUCCCAGCUGGUCUCUCUGUGUGUGUAUGCUCAGUUGCUAAGUCGUGGCUGACUCUUCUGAGACCCUACGGACUGUAGCCCGCCAGGCUCCUCUGCCCAUGGGAUUUCCCAGUAUUGUAUGGAAGUGACUCUUUUAUUAUUUAUCAUCCUCACCCAAGAGAAAACCAACCUCCCAGAAGUGAUAUGACUGAUUGUUGGACCACAAUAAAUGUAGGUAGUGUCACAAAGGAUUUGUCCAUGUAAGUCGGGCUGACUAACUGUUAGUUAAAAUCAAUCAGCUAAAUUGUAUUGCACAUUUGCUCUUGCUCAGUUGAGCUUUUAGGACUUUUCAUAUAGUAAUGGUGAUUCUUUCCAACUGUGGGCCAGUUGUAAUCAAUAGCCAGGGCAUUGUUCCACAUAAGGGUGAUGAAGUAAAUAGAAUGCCCUUCAUAUGCUUUAAUCAAGGUUUAUGACAAGGCUGAGGAGACAGUUCUUCACAAGAACAUCUGGCAGCCAGAGUGGUUAUAUAGGUUGGCUUCAGAUGGGAAUGUUUGGAAUCGCUUAGUUGAAACAACACAAUGUGUCGGCAUUAGCCCACAUAUAAUCAAAACAGUUCCUGCGAUGUGCCAGGAAACUGAAUAGGUGAGAGCCACAUGGUAGUCUGCCUUUAUGGCUAGAAGCCCAGAAACGCUAAUGGGAACUGUGCACAUUGACUGGAGGAGAAGAUGUGACCUGCCCAGUGUAUUGAGGUUCCAAAGCUUCACUUGGUAGAUCUAGAAGGUUUAAAUAUAAAUUGUAUAUUGAUGUGGUAUUGGAGAAGGACUCUUGGGAGUCCCUUGGACUGCAAGGAGAUCCAACCAGUCCAUCCUAAAGGAGAUCAGCUCUGGGUGUUCUUUGGAAGGAAUGAUGCUAAAGUUGAAACUCCAGUACUUUGGCCACCUCAUGCGAAGAGUUGACUCAUUGGAAAAGACUCUGAUGCUGGGAGGGAUUGGGGGCAGGAGGAGAAGGGGACGACAGAGGAUGAGAUGGCUGGGUGGCAUCACUGACUCGAUGGACGUGAGUCUGAGUGAACUCUGGGAGAUGGUGAUGGACAGGGAAGCCUGGCGUGCUGCGAUUCAUCGGGUUGCAAAGAGUCGGACACGGCUGAGCGGCUGAACUGAACUGAACUGAACUGAAUGCUGACGUUCAUUCAGUUCUUACAUGGAAAACAAAAAAAGAAAAAAAGUAACAACUAUGGCUCUUCAUGGCCCUUUCACCAAAAGUAAUUUGUGACAAUAAGUAGCUAGUCUGACAGAUGGAAAAGGCAAUGACAACCCACUCCAGUACUCUUGCCUGGAAAAUCCCACAGACGGAGGAUCCUGG
ensembl:lncRNA